UGAGGAAUAUUGGUCAAUGGGCGAGAGCCUGAACCAGCCAAGUCGCGUGAAGGAAGACAGUCCUAAGGAUUGUAAACUUCUUUUAUACGGGAAUAACGGGCGAUACGAGUAUUGCAUUGAAUGUACCGUAAGAAUAAGCAUCGGCUAACUCCGUGCCAGCAGCCGCGGUAAUACGGAGGAUGCGAGCGUUAUCCGGAUUUAUUGGGUUUAAAGGGUGCGUAGGUUGUUCGGUAAGUCAGCGGUGAAACCUGAGCGCUCAACGUUCAGCCUGCCGUUGAAACUGCCGGGCUUGAGUUCAGUGGCGGCAGGCGGAAUGCGUGGUGUAGCGGUGAAAUGCAUAGAUAUCACGAGGAACUCCGAUUGCGAAGGCAGCUUGCCAUACUGCGACUGACACUGAAGCACGAAGGCGUGGGUAUCAAACAGG
rnacentral:rRNA from 1 species